rnacentral:rRNA from 1 species
AGAACGAACGCUGGCGGCAGGCUUAACACAUGCAAGUCGAGCGGGUAGCAAUACCAGCGGCAGACGGGUGAGUAACACGUGGGAACCUUCCUAGAGGUACGGAACAACGCAGGGAAACUUGCGCUAAUACCGUAUGUGCUCUUGCGAGGAAAGAUUUAUCGCCUUUAGACGGGCCCGCGUCGGAUUAGCUAGUUGGUGAGGUAAUGGCUCACCAAGGCUCCGAUCCUUAGCUGUUCUGAGAGGAAGAUCAGCCACACUGGGACUGAGACACGGCCCAGACUCCUACGGGAGGCAGCAGUUGGGAAUCUUGGACAAUGGGGGAAACCCUGAUCCAGCCAUGCCGCGUGAGUGAUGAAGGCCUUCGGGUUGUAAAACUCUUUCGACGGGACGAUAAUGACGGUACCCGUAGAAGAAGCUCCGGCUAACUUCGCGCCAGCAGCCGC